rnacentral:misc_RNA from 1 species
UACGGAGGGUGCGAGCGUUGUCCGGAAUCACUGGGCGUAAAGGGCGCGUAGGCGGCUCAGCAAGUGUAUGGUGAAAGCCCGGAGCUUAACUCCGGGUCGGCCGUGCAAACUGCUGUGGCUAGAGGACUGUAGAGGCAGGUAGAACUCCGGGUGUAGCGGUGGAAUGCGUAGAGAUCCGGAAGAAUACCGGUGGCGAAGGCGGCCUGCUGGGCAGUCACUGACGCUGAGGCGCGACAGCGUGGGGAGCAAACAGG